rnacentral:rRNA from 1 species
AACGAACGCUGGCGGCGUGGAUUAGGCAUGCAAGUCGAACGGUAUCAUCCUUUCGGGGGUGAGAGAGUGGCGAACUGGUGAGUAACACGUAGGUUAUCUACCCUCAAGACGGGGACAACCCAGGGAAACUUGGGCUAAUACCGGAUGUGAGCAACUUUUAGUUGUUUGAAAGGUGGCGUAAGCUGUCGCUUGGGGAUGAGCCUGCGUCCUAUUAGUUAGUUGGUGAGGUAACGGCUCACCUAGGCAAUGAUAGGUAGGCGGCCUUAACGGGUGGUCGCCCACACUGGGAUUGAGAUACGGCCCAGACUCCUACGGGAGGCAGCAGUCGAGAAUAGUCUACAAUGGUCGGAAGACUGAUAGUGCGACGCCGCGUGAACGAUGAAUCCCUUCGGGGUGUAAAGUUCUUUUAUAUGUGAGCAGUGCUUCUUAUAUUAACAGUAUGGGGAGAGAGAUAUUAGCAUAUGAAUAAGCAACGGCUAACUCCGUGCCAGCAGCCCGCGGUAAUA